AUGGCUUGGGCGAUGGGAAACGCCACCCAGGCCAAACCUGUCCCCGCUGUGUUUACUGCGAGGGAAGCUGCUGAAGGAGCAGGACCUGGCAGCGGGGCUCCUGGGCUCCCCCCCCCAAACAUCUUCUCACUAACUCCAGAGGUGGCUCCGGAGGUGGCACAGCCUCUGAGCAGCAGCUGCCCCUGUCCUCACAGGAUGGCUGCCCACGGCCCUGCUGGCAGCGUCUGCACGGGAAUGACAGAGCCAGGGGGACAACCACGGGGCUGGGGACCGAGGCACGCAGCCAGGGGCCACACGCCGGGCACCACCAGGCGCGGGACACACCUGCACCCUGCCACCCCAACGCGUCCCCGCCGGCGGCACCCACCUGUGGAAGAGCAGCAGGAUGGAGAGCAGGGUCUGGUCGAUGUUCCUGUUGCAGAUGCCCUGGUUGAAGAGGUAGCAGGGGUCCCGCACCACGGGCUCCAGCGAGUCCUGGCGCAUGAUGGAGCUCAGCUUGUCGGUGUUGAGGUUCUUGCGGACCAGCUGCUCCUGCAGCUGCCGGAAGCUGCUGACGGUGGGGCUGCCCGGGUUGUUGUUCUCGCCCCCGGCCCCCUCCUCCGGGCCGCUCCGGUUGGCCAAGUCCAGGCAGCAGCUGCAGCAGUCCAGCCCCACGGGCGAGCGGCACUCCUCGCCGGGCGACGAGGACAUCCCGCGCCCCUGCGCGCCUCCAACGCCGCCUCCAACGCCGCCGCCACCGGGGCCGCGCGGAGGGCGAGCGGCGGCAGGGGACGCGCCCGGUACCGAGCGCCGCGCACAGCCAGCCAGCCGCCCGCCCGGCCCCGGCCACGGCCCCGGCCCCGCUCCCGGUCCCGGCUCCCGGCUCCGCUCCUCCCGGUGCUGAUUGGUAACGGCGGCCCCCGAGCGCCCGGCCGCCGCCGCCUCCGCUCCCCGCCCCGCAGCCGCUGCCGCCGCCGCCGCCGCCGCCGCCCCACCCCGGGCCGCCCCGCGGGAGCCCGCCCCGCCGGCACCCGCUGCUGCCAGCCCCGGCACCGCCCCGCCCGAGGCCGCUGCCAGCCCUCCCCUGGGGGGGGGAGCCCCGCCGGUAGGCGCUGGGACACGCGGUGCCACCCGGAGCCGCUGGCACCCCGCUGCCGCUGCGCCCCUGGGGCACCUCCCCGCCGGCACCCACUGGGGGACCCGCUGGGGACCCGCGGUGGCACCAGGAAGACGGUGUCCCGUCCCCCCCCCCCGGUGCCACUCCACUCCACCCCACGGGACGCCACCCCAGUGGCACCCGCUGACUCACUGGGGACGUGA
rnacentral:lncRNA from 1 species